AACGAACGCUGGCGGCAUGCCUAACACAUGCAAGUCGAACGAGACCUUCGGGUCUAGUGGCGCACGGGUGCGUAACGCGUGGUAACCUGCCCGUAGGUUCGGAGUAACUCCCCGAAAGGGGUGCUAAUACCGGAUAAUGUCUUCGGACCAAAGAUUUUUCGCCUUUGGAUGGGCCCGCGUUGGAUUAGCGGGUUGGUAGGGGAAAAGCAUACCAAGGCGACGAUCCAUAGCUGGUCUGAGAGGAUGACACGCCACACUGGGACUGAGACACGGCCCAGACUGCUACGGAAGGGAGCGGUGGGGAAUACUAGACAAGGGGCGAAGGCGUGACAACGCAGUGCCGGGUGAGUGGUGAAGGCCUUAGGGUUGUAAAGCUGUUUUACCCGGGAUGAUAAUGACGGUACCGGGAGAAUAAGCUCCGGCUAACUACGUG
rnacentral:rRNA from 1 species